rnacentral:tRNA from 1 species
AUGCACGUGUACACACAUGCAUGCAUACACACAUGCAUUUGUAGAUAUAUGUGUAGGUGUGUACACACAACAUACACAUAUGCAUCCACACAUACACAUAUACAUAUGAGGUGGCACGUUCAGCUUUCAAGAGGACCAUCAGGGACUUUGUCACCUUGACAACUUUAGCCUUGCCUUCUAGUCACCUUGCCGGAACACUUGUGCCCGUGUUUUUCUAGCACUGUCAUAAGAAUACUUUUACCUAUCAAGGCAACUGGGGGUUAGGAGAGCUUUUUGCACAGGAGGCUACUUGGCUUUGUUUGAAAACUGAUGAUACAUGAGGAUUGGGGUGGUGAAUCACUCACAUGUUUCUUCAUAUGAAAAAUGAGGACUGUGGGAUUCUCUGGCUGGAUCUCAGCACCUAGAAAUGGAUCUGGGCAAUAGGAACUGCUCAGUAUUAGCUACCGCUUUGGUUGCCUUCUCCUUGCGGAAAGCUGGCCUCUCACACUGAAUUUGUAUCAUAGGCACUCAUGAGGGUCUUGACUGUAUCAAUAUCUGAUGAGAGAUUUUAGUGCAGUUCUGUUAUCGUGGCUGAUUUGCUCAUUUGGUAGCUAGCAUCCAGCUUCUUGUGAACAUUAAAAUAAAAUAAAAUAGAUUAUGGAGGAAUAGAAUACAGAUACGUAGUAAGGUAUUAUUUUCCAGACAAAAUGGAUUUGGAUAAAAGAAUCUAAUUAAGAACUUGUGCAUGAUUCUUUUAAAAUUCUUUUGAAUCCAUUUUUUUUUUUUUGGCCUGUUUUCAAGUCUCCGAUUUUUGUCACCCUUCUCACACCAGGUCAGAGAGAUAGCUAAUGGUCAGAAGGAAUCUUCCAGCAAUGACCAUAGCGCUUUCUCCUGCCUGCAGAUGCCUCUUUUUAUUCAGCCUUUAUGGGAAGUAGCAGCACCAUCCAGUUCUCAGAGAGCAAGCUCUGGAGUAACUGAGCUAACCCCAGUUACCCCAGUGGAUUUACAGAUUGAGGUUACAACCCAGCAGGGUUCUCUUCCUGGAAAGAAUAGCCUUCCCUCUAAGGUUUCAAAUAGACCCUGGGUGAGGAAGGAGCCCUAAACAGCUUGAAAAAUUGAAUGCUCUUUGGGCAAAGCAGGAAGCCGUCCUAUGGAAGAGCAUCAUUUGAGCAUAAAUCAGGUUAUCAGGACAAACAGAGUGUUCAGGAGGUCAAGAUGGUUAAGCAGAGACCCUGACCAGAAUGUCCGUGGCGGAGAGAAACAAUCUUGUUGGGAAAAGGAUGACAAUAAUUGGGGACUUAGAAUAAAGGCUAAAAAUGAUUCAAAGAGAAUGCAAAAAGAAUCAGGCACAAAUCGUUUACUAUACUCUGUUAUGCAAAUCUCACCUUACUAUGUGUUUGUAUUCUAUUCCUCCACAAUCUUUAUUUUAUUUUAAUGUUCAAAGAGACUUGUAGGUGCCAAUUAAAUGAACAAAACAGCCAGAGACAACAGAACUGCCCUAAAAAAAGUCCCGCAUCAGCUCUUGAGAGCAGGUUCCUUAAAGGUGAACAAUAUUCCACAUACAAGGACUUUUUCAGCACCAUGCAUUAGAAAUGGAAGUGAAUGUUUAUUAUUUUUUGUAUAAGUUGGUUGAUAUGGCUUUUCAGCUUCCCUCAGUAUCAUUAUCCAAAUUUUGUAGAUGACACUAAAGCUCAGAGGAGUUAAACCAUUUUCCUUAAAUCACAUAGCUUUAAAUAGGAAAACCAGAUAUGAAAAGCAGAUUUUUUUUCUAAAUUAAAAAACCAAAAACAAAAACACGUGAGCUCUUGCUUUACCCUAGCACAUAGUCUUGCCAUCUGUUUUCUCCACACCAGGUGAUUCCUGUAACAUUCAUUCACAUAACAAAUACAAAUAAAUGAGUGGAUUCAUUCAUCAGAUAUUAAUUCAGAAUCCCUUUUGUGCCUUCCAGAAAUCUGGACCAUCUCACAACCCCCAGAGAGUCUCAGCUACAAGGAACAAGUGAUAAUGCCAUCCCACUUUUAUAAACACACACACACACACAUGCAAUACACACACAAUCAUUUAAUCAUUUUUAAUUAUUUAAUUAUUUUUUAAAAAUCAGUGACACUUUAGCUGGGCAGGUCUAGAUAGGUCUUCUUUGCUGGGACGUGUCUUUUUCUGUCCUGGAAUACCCUAAACUUCACAUUUUGGCAGCGUGAGUUUUCCCUUUGUGACUUUCUCCUUCUUCCCUUUUUUCCUCCUUCUUUGCAGAGAAUGAGUAGCCACUGCACCUUGCCCUGCGCCAUCAAUGAGAAGAUCUGCUCUUAGUAGAGCCCUGCUUUCCCGCUGAAGGCCCUGAAAUCACCUGUGUUCCAGGCCACCCACUAAGGAUAAACAAAGCUUCCCUGAUAUGGGGAAUUAGCUCAAGUGGUAGAGCGCUUGCUUAGCAUGCAAGAGGUAGUGGGAUCAAUGCCCACAUUCUCCAAGCUUUAUUAUUUAGGUACCCAAACCCGAGUCAGUGUCUGAGAGCAAGACACUGCUCUCGGUGUCUUUGGUUCAAGACAUAGGAGCAGCAACAAUACAGGACUGGUGACAGCUUCCUGCUGGCAUUCAGUAUAGUGUAGAUCUACUGUGUAAUUAAUUUUCUGUUUCUUCGAGGAGCUGUGAAACCAAAGGACAUAUAAAACUGCUCUUUUCUCCCUGUUUCUGCCUGCAGCUUGGUCCUAAAUGUGAGACAAUUGUGAAAAGUGGAGGACAGAGCCACCUGGUUAAAUACAGCCCCAGCUUUCUGGUGAGAGGACUGAAACCAAGAUGUGUCAAGUAACUAGAAUGUGCCUGGACAGAUACUGUAGAAAGCAAAACCAUAAAGUUGUUCAUGAGCUUGUGGACGCACCUGCCAGCUGUGAAUAAGUGGCUCUAAUCCCGAACAACUUACCUAAAAAGAGCCUGAGAGCUGAACUGUGCAAUGGCCCACUUUCCAGUCCUCACUGACCACUGGGUUGCACACACUUUGGAGAUCUCUGAACAGCAGUGUCAAGGCUUUCAAAUAGAGUUAUCUUUGAAACGACAACACAUGAAAGUCUGGUUGGUACUUGGAGCUUAAAUACAAGGCAAUUGUGUGCCUGCAAAAACAAAAAUAGCAAUAUUAUCCUUAAGAUUUCAACAAGACACAGUGUCUCAUCACAUAAUCCAAAGAAGUCCAGGUUACAAGCCCCACAAUAUUCAGCAUUAUGAAAAAACAGGGAGAUCUUAAUUCACAUGGCAAAGAGAAUCCUCGAAUAACAAUAUUGAGAGGACACAGAUGUCAAAAUCAUCUGACACAUACAUUAAAGCAGAUAUUAUAACAAUGCUCCUAGAAUCGGGGAUAACAUUCGUGAAGUGAAUGGAAAGUUGGAAAGUCUCACCAAAUAUUUCGAAUACAUAAACACCAAUUUAAACUUAAGAAUUAAAAAAAUGUAUUAACCAAAACUCUUAGGGGAAAUAAAAAGCUUAAUUGGAGGAUCUCCAUAAUCGAAUGCAGAAGACUAAGGAAAAAGUCAAUGAACUUGAAAACAGAACACGAAUACCUACAUAAUCUGAACUAUAGAGAGAAAGGAGGAUUUUAUUGUCUCUGAACAGAGGCUCAGGCACAAAUAAAAAAUAACAAAUCCAACAUUCACAUUAUUGUAAUCUGGAAAGAAGAGGACAAAGUGGUCUUUGUGGGAUAAAACUUUGAACAAUUAAUAGCUGAAAAUGGUUCAAAUUUGUCAAAAGAUAUAAACCAGAUUUUUAAAGUUCAGUAAAUGUCAAUCAGGAUAAACCCAAAGAAACCCAUAGCAAGGCAUAUCAUAAUCAAACUGCUGAAAACUAAGAAAAUACAAAACAAUUUUGAAAGCAGCCAAAGGGAAAUGAAAGAGAAACUACCAAAUGAAUGAUUGUAGAUUUCGCAUCAGGAACCAUAGGGGCCAGAAAAAAUGUCAUAACAUUCGGUAAGUAACAAAAGAAAAAGACAUAUCGACCCAGAAUGCUAUGUGGAGCAAAAGUAUCUUCCAGACAUAAAGGCAAAUAAAUGCAUUCUCAGUGGAAGGUAAGUAAAUACAUUCUCAUUCUUAGGAAGACUGCUGGAAAAGAAUUAGCAAAGAUUUGAGAUAAGAAAAAUGAUACCAGAAGGAAACUUAGAACAUCAUCAGUGAAGGAACAAAAGCAGAAAUAGAACAUGUCUGGGUAGACAUAACAGACUAUUAUUCUUCCCUUGAGUUCCUUAAGGAGACUACGGAAAAGAAGAGUGACUAAGAUCUCUGAAGAAGGGAAAAGCUAGAUGACUGGGCCACAAGAGGAAAAAAAGCAGCAAGACAGAGAUUUGUUGGUGCCAACUAAAUGAGCCCAACAGCCAGUGACAACAGAACUGCACUAAAAAAAGUCCCUCAUCAGCUCUUGAGAGCAGGUUCCUUAAAGGUGAACAAUAUUCCACAUACAAGGACUUUUUCAGCACCAUGCAUUAGAAAUGGAAGUGAAUGUUUAUUAUUUUUUGUAUAAGUUGGUUGAUACGGCUUUUCAGCUUCCCUCAGUAUCAUUAUCCAAAUUUUGUAGAUGACACUAAAGCUCAGAGGAGUUAAACCAUUUUCCUCAAAUCACAUAGUUUUAAAUAGGAAAACCAGAUAUGAAAAGCAGAUUUUUUUCUAAAUUAAAAAAAAAAAAAAAACUUGAGCUCUUGCUUUACCCUAGCACAUAGUCUCACCAUCUGUUUUCUCCAUGCCAGGUCAUUCAUGUAACAUUCAUUCACAUAACAAAUACAAAUAAAUGAGUGGAUUCAUUCAUCAGCUAUUAAUUCAGAAUCUCUUUUGUGUCUACCACACUAGGCUCAAGACUUCCCAGUGUCUUUGUCUCCUCUCCCUCAAAUCUCUCCACCCAAUGUCUUGACAAAUACUGUAGAUCCUUCCUGCACAGCAUCACCAGAAUGUUUUUCUUUCUUUUCAUUCACCUCUGUCAUCAUCCAUGCUAUGGUGUUUAUGGAGGAUGUAUUCUGCAGCAGGAAGUGUGAUGGGCACUGACGCUGCAGAAAGACUCCUGUUGUCCACCUCGGGAGCUGACACGAUAAAUGCGGAGAAUGAGUAGCCACUGCACCUUGCCCUGGGCCAUCAGUGAGAAGAUCUGCUCUUAGUAGAGCCCUGCUUUCCCGCUGAAGGCCCUGAAAUCCCCUGUGUUCCAGGCCACCCACUAAGGAUCAAUAAAGCUCCCCUGAUGUGGGGGAAUUAGCUCAAGUGGUAGAGCGCUUGCUUAGCAUGCAAGAGGUAGUGGGAUCGAUGCCCACAUUCUCCAAACUUUAUUAUUUAGACCCUGGGUCUCCAAACACUCAGGUCUCCAAACCCAAGUCAGAGAACAGGAUGCUGCUUUGGUUCAAGAUGUAGGAGCAGCAACAAUACAGGGCUGGUGACGGCUCCCUCCUGGCAUUCAGUAUAGUGUAGAUCUACCGUGUAAUUAAUUUUCUGCUUCUUUGAGGAGCUGUGAAACCAAGGGACAUAAACAAUUGCUCUUUUCUCCCUGUUUCUGCCUGUAGCUUGAAUGUGAGGCAACUGUGAAAAGUGCAGGGCAGAGCCACCUGGGUAAAUACAGCCCUGGCUUUCUGGUGAGAGGACUGAAACCAGGAUGUGUCAAGUAACUAGAAUGUGCCUGGACAGAUACUGUAGAAAGCAAACCCAUAAAGUUGUUCAUGAGCUUGUGGACGCACCUGCCAGCUGUGAAUAAGUGGGUCUAAUCCCAAACAACUUACCUAAAAAGAGCCUGAGGACUGAACUAAACAAUGGUCCACUUUCCAGUCCUCACUGACCACUGGUUGCACACACUCCAGAGAUCUCUCAUCCGCAGUGUCAAGGCUUUCAAAUAGAGUUAUCUGUGAAACAACAACACAUGGAAGUCUGGUUGGUACUUGGAGCUUAAAUACAAGGCAAUUGUGUGCCUGCAAAAACAAAAAGAGCAAUAUUAUCCUUAAGAUUUCAACAAGACACAGUGUCUCAUCACAUAAUCCAAAGAAGUCCAGGUUACAAGCCCCAAAAUAUUCAGCAUUAUGAAAAACCAGGGAGAUCUUAAUUCACAUGGCAAAGAGAAUCCUUGCAUAACAAUAUUGAGAGGACACAUAUGUCAAAAUCAUCUGACACAUACAUUAAAGCAGUUAUUAUAACAAUGCUCCUAGAAUUACGGGAUAGCAUUCAUGAAGUGAAUGGAAAGUUGGAAAGUCUCACCAAAUAUUUGGAAUAUGUAAACACCAAUUUAAACUUAAGAAUUAAAAAAAGUAUUAACCAAAACUAUUAGGGGAAAUAAAAAGCUUAAUUGGAUGAUCUCAAUAGCAGUAUGCAGAAGACUAAGGAAAAAGUCAAUGAACUUGAAAACGGAACAAGAAUACCUACAGAAUCUGACCUAUAGAAAGAAAGGAGGAUUUUAUUGUCCCUGAACAGAGGCUCAGGGACAAAUAAAAAAUAACAAAUCUAACAUUCACAUUAUUGUAAUCUGGAAACAUUCACAUUAUUGUAAGAGGACAAAGAGGUCUUUGUGGGAUAAAACUGUGAAGAAUUAAUGGCUGAAAAUGUAUCAAAUUUCUCAAAAGAUAUAAACCAGAUUUUUAAAGUUCAGUAAAUGUCAAGCAGGAUAAACCAAAAGAAACCCAUUGCAAGACAUAUCAUAAUCAAACUGCGGAAAAUUAAGAAAACACAAAACAAUUUUGAAAGCAGCCAAAGGGAAAUGAAAGAUAAAAUACCAAAUGAAUGAUUGUAGAUUUCUCAUCGGGAACCCAGGAGCCAGAAAAAAAUGUCAUAACAUUCAGUAAAUACCAAAGGAAAAAUACAUUAUCAACCCAGAAUGGUAUGUGGAGCAAAAGUAUCUUCCAGACAUAAAGGCAAAUAAAUGCAUUCUCAUUGGAAGGUAAAUAAAUACAUUCUCAGUCCUAGCAAAACUGCUGGAAAAGAAUUAGCAAAGGUUUGAGAUAAGAAAAGUGAUACCAGAAGGAAACUUAGAACAUCAUCAAUGAAGGAACAAAAGCAGAAAUAGAAAAUGUCUGGGUAGACAUAACAGACUAUUAUUCUUCUCUUGAGUUCCUUAAGACAAUGAGUAGCCACUGCUGUUUGCCCUGGCCCAUCAAUGAGAAGAUCUGCUCUUAGAGCCCUGCUUUCCUGCUGAAGGCCCUGAAAUCACCUGUGUUCCAGGCCACCUGCUAACAAUAAAUAAUGCUGCCCUGAUGUGGGGAAUUAGCUCAAGUGGUAGAGCGCUUGCUUAGCACGCAAGAGGUAGUGGGAUCGAUGCCCACAUUCUCCAAGCUUUAUUAUUUAGACAUCGUGUCUCCAAACACUCAGGUCUCCAAACCCAAGUUAGUGUCUGAGAACAGGAUGCUGCUUUGGUUCAAGACGUAGGAGCAGCAAUAAUAGAGGGCUGGUGAUGGCUCCCUCUUGGCAUUCAGUAUAGUGUAGAUCUACCAUGUAAUUAAUUCUCUGUUUCUUUGAGGAGCUGUGAAACCAAGGGACAUAUACAACUGCUCUUUUCUCCCUGUUUCUACCUGCAGCUUUGUCCUAAAUGUGAGACAAUUAUGAAAAGUGCAGCGCAGAGCCACUUGGGUAAAUACAGCCCCGGCUUUCUGCUCAGGGGACAGAGUUUGAGGCACUGCAGAGGAACCGGCCAAAGUAUGAGACCCAUAUAUUGAGAGUAACAGAGUGUAAAGUUCAAAAAAAUCAAAAUAUUUAAAGAUUUAUCAUGGGUCUUGAUGACAUGAUGGAAUCUCUCUACUCUCUGGACUUAUUAUGUGUGGUAAUAAAUUUACUUUUUAAAAGCCA